GAGACACCCUUCUGGGGAAAGACUUGUUUCAGUGGGGCUUUGGUGCUCACUGAGUCUGCCUCCUGAGUGUGUCCCU
rnacentral:pre_miRNA from 1 species